rnacentral:miRNA from 1 species
AACGGUGUGCUUUGGUUCUCU